rnacentral:rRNA from 1 species
AGAUUGAACGCUGGCGGCAUGCCUAACACAUGCAAGUCGAACGGGAGUAGCAAUACUCUAGUGGCGGACGGGUGAGGAAUACGUAGGAAUUUGCCCUUAAGUGGGGGAUAACCCGGGGAAACCCGGAUUAAUACCGCAUGACCUCGAAAGAGCAAAGUGGGGGAUCGCAAGACCUCACGCUUUUGGAGAAGCCUACGUCGGAUUAGCUAGUUGGUGAGGUAAUGGCUCACCAAGGCGACGAUCCGUAACUGGUCUGAGAGGAUGAUCAGUCACACCGGAACUGAGACACGGUCCGGACUCCGUACGGGAGGCAGCAGGUGGGGAAUAGUUGGACAAGUGGGCGCAAGCCUGAUCCAGCAAUGCCGCGUGUGUGAAGAAGGCCGUUCGGUUAGUAAGCUACUUUAAGGUUAGGAAAGAAAAAC